rnacentral:rRNA from 1 species
CAUGCAAGUCGAACGGUAACAGGAGAGAGCUUGCUCUCUUGCUGACGAGUGGCGGACGGGUGAGUAAUACAUGGGAAUCUGCCCUGAGGUGGGGGAUAACCCGGGGAAACUCGGGCUAAUACCGCAUGAUCUCUUCGGAGCAAAGUGGGGGACCUUCGGGCCUCACGCCUUGGGAUGAGCCCAUGUCUGAUUAGCUAGUUGGUGGGGUAAAGGCCUACCAAGGCAACGAUCAGUAGCCGGCCUGAGAGGGUGUACGGCCACACUGGGACUGAGACACGGCCCAGACUCCUACGGGAGGCAGCAGUGGGGAAUAUUGGACAAUGGGGGCAACCCUGAUCCAGCAAUGCCGCGUGUGUGAAGAAGGCCUGCGGGUUGUAAAGCACUUUUAUCGGGGAAGAAUAGGUUGUCGUUAAUAGCGCCAACACUUGACAUUACCCGUUGAAUAAGCACCGGCUAACUCCGUGCCAGCAGCCGCGGUAAUACGGAGGGGGUUAGCGUUGUUCGGAAUUACUGGGCGUAAAGCGCACG